GAGAAUAUAUAAGCCCAUCUAUUAAAAGUAUUGUAUUUUUUAUAUUGAACUUCCAAACGAGUUUUAUCGUCUUCAUUAUGAAAUAGUUGAAUUUGAAUCUUGUUUGAUUGCUAUUUAAACUUGUCUUGAUCUUGAAUUUUCCGACCUAACCUGUCCUUAUCUUAUUCUUAGGAUUAUUGAAUAAUGUUUACAAACUACACUUUACAGUCAACUUAGAAGUUAGCCUAUAAUUAUAAAAAUUACGUUAAGUCCAGGUCAAAUGAUACGAAUACAAACACAAUGAAAAGGUUCCAAGUUGUAAGUUAGGCAAGCAAACUGUGAUGUCUCUUGGUUCUACUGUAUAUUUGGAACUUGGACUUGUUGAAAGUUUGAUUCAGACACCUCAAAGUCAAAUUAAGGUCUAGACUGAAGCGAAAGUCAAAGUUACGUAUGCUUUAAAUUUAUUAUUAAAGUGUCACCAAAAAUACUAAUAGAAGUAGAACUUUAUUGCUACUGGAGAAUUUGGCAAUAAUUGUACAGAGUGGUUUUAAUUCACUAGGAUUUGUGUAUGCAGUUGUCACAGUCUACAGAAAGAAACGAUGAAACUAAUGGACACUGGAAAACUAAACUUUUGAAUAACAAGAAGAAAAUUCUGGAGUGUCAAUGGAAGAGAAGGUCUGCGUAUCUUGGUGAUUACCCAAUACCAUGAUGAGAUAUAUUAGGUUAAAAUAAUUGUGAAAUUGUGUGGAUGGCUACCGUACGAUUGGAGGUUGAACAAGUGACUUUUGAUGCUGAGGCCUUAUUGGCUAAGGGACAGCCUGUUAAUUCUUUAGACAGUGUUGUUGAUCCACACACAGAUUUUCAAAUUCAGAAAUGCUGUGAUGUGCCAGAAGAUCCUUCUUUCCAUCAGCUCAUCUCUAACAAUACAUCUUCUAUACUUCAGCUUGUUUAUAACAACACUGGAAGUGAUGA